rnacentral:rRNA from 1 species
AGUGAACGCUGGCGGUAGGCCUAACACAUGCAAGUCGAACGGCAGCACAGUAAGGGCUUGCUCUUACGGGUGGCGAGUGGCGGACGGGUGAGGAAUACAUCGGAAUCUACUUUUUCGUGGGGGAUAACGUAGGGAAACUUACGCUAAUACCGCAUACGACCUACGGGUGAAAGCAGGGGAUCUUCGGACCUUGCGCGAUUGAAUGAGCCGAUGUCGGAUUAGCUAGUUGGCGGGGUAAAGGCCCACCAAGGCGACGAUCCGUAGCUGGUCUGAGAGGAUGAUCAGCCACACUGGAACUGAGACACGGUCCAGACUCCUACGGGAGGCAGCAGUGGGGAAUAUUGGACAAUGGGCGCAAGCCAGAUCCAGCCAUACCGCGUGGGUGAAGAAGGCCUUCGGGUUGUAAAGCCCUUUUGUUGGGAAAGAAAAGCAGCAGGUUAAUACCCCGCUGUUCUGACGGUACCCAAAGAAUAAGCACCGGCUAACUUCGUG